AGGCAGGAGCCGGGGAUGACUGUGCAGUUCAGAAGGGGGAUAGAAAAGCAGCCCCCUGAACAGUCAACCCCACAGAAGAGAAUGCCAACAGCCCCCUUCCCGCUUCCACCAAUUGCUGUUACCAUUCAGAGUUCACAGUCUGCCAGCCUCCACUGGGCCAGUUUGGGACUGGGGCUCCCGUUAUAUUAAGUGCUGUUGUACAAACACCUAGAAAGACAUGGGCCUUGCCUGGAGGAUUUUACAAUCCAAGAUGCCUAUUUCAUGCAUUGUAAACCUUACCCAACAGUCAGACCACAGUCCAGGUGAUUACUGUACAGGUCCUCACCUGCAAGGAAAAGAUCAGUAAUGCAGAAAGAACACCAUAUGGCUAAUAGGUUGCAGUUCCACCCUUACCCCAUAAAAGGUAACCGGCUUGGAGCCCAUGGACUUCUUGUUUAAAGAAUUAUUCACGAUCCUGAAUUCAAAUCAUCUCAUGGUCGCUGCUAUCCAAGUUGUCAUCUACUUCUACAUUCCCUGCCAAUUCUUCUCUGUUUGUGACCAGCAGGUCAGGAAGACCAUGACCCCUAGUUGGCCUCUCCAACUUUUGCACCAGUGCUUGUGAUGUAGUGAGAUAGCACUUUUUCUGGGACAACUGGAGCUAAUUCCAGUUAACUGCCAUUUGAGAUGCAUGACAAAAGACUGCCCCACAGGAGUCAAACUUGGGACAAUCAGACCUUAGAUAAACCAGUCUUUGCUUUUAGCCUGAGAGAGGAGUGCCUGCCCCAGAUUUGUACAAUCUUGCUACCUUCUUUUCACAGUCAUUUAAAAGCCUGAUCAACUGAAAAAGAAGUCUUGGAAGAGGCACAGUUUUUCUAGUGGAAGCAACUCAGCCUUCUGGCUAAGAUCAAGAAAGGCCGCAGGCUUCUGAACCUCAACACCUUCAGGCCUGGGGCUUGUAUGUAGGAUGCCUGCCCGAAUUUGGGGAGUAUCCAAAGCCUGAGACCAAUGGGUCUGGGAAGGAGGAUACUUGCCCAGCAGCAUUCCCUCUAAGCUGUGCAAUGUGUGCAGCCGCGUUCAUGCCACACUGCUAGGCACACCU